CAGGGGGGGAAGCCCUGGAUCCCGCAUUGCCGCGUGCAGGAUGAAGGCCUUCGGGUUGUAAACUGCUUUUGUACGGAACGAAAAAGCUUCUCCUAAUACGAGAGGCCCAUGACGGUACCGUAAGAAUAAGCACCGGCUAACUACGUGCCAGCAGCCGCGGUAAUACGUAGGGUGCGAGCGUUAAUCGGAAUUACUGGGCGUAAAGCGUGCGCAGGCGGUUAUGUAAGACAGAUGUGAAAUCCCCGGGCUCAACCUGGGAACUGCAUUUGUGACUGCAUGGCUAGAGUACGGUAGAGGGGGAUGGAAUUCCGCGUGUAGCAGUGAAAUGCGUAGAUAUGCGGAGGAACACCGAUGGCGAAGGCAAUCCCCUGGACCUGUACUGACGCUCAUGCACGAAAGCGUGGGGAGCAAACAGGAUUAGAAUACCCCCGGUAGUCCCA
rnacentral:rRNA from 1 species